GACAAGUAAUAUCUUAAAAAAAGUAUUUUAUUUACAUUAAAAAGUUCAUUUCAUAAAAUGUUACUUGA
rnacentral:tRNA from 1 species